rnacentral:rRNA from 1 species
GUGGGGAAUUUUGGACAAUGGGCGCAAGCCUGAUCCAGCAAUGCCGCGUGCAGGAAGAAGGCCUUCGGGUUGUAAACUGCUUUUGUACGGAACGAAAAGGCUCUGGUUAAUACCUGGGGCUCAUGACGGUACCGUAAGAAUAAGCACCGGCUAACUACGUGCCAGCAGUCGCGGUAAUACGUAGGGUGCGAGCGUUAAUCGGAAUUACUGGGCGUAAAGCGUGCGCAGGCGGUUCUGUAAGACAGGCGUGAAAUCCCCGGGCUCAACCUGGGAAUUGCGCUUGGGACUGCAGUGCUGGAGUGCGGCAGAGGGGGAUGGAAUUCCGCGUGUAGCAGUGAAAUGCGUAGAUAUGCGGAGGAACACCGAUGGCGAAGGCAAUCCCCUGGGCCUGCACUGACGCUCAUGCACGAAAGCGUGGGGAGCAAACAGGAUUAGAAACCCCGGUAGUCC